GAUGAACGCUGGCGGCGUGCCUAAUACAUGCAAGUCGAGCGAACGGACGAGAAGCUUGCUUUUCUGAUGUUAGCGGCGGACGGGUGAGUAACACGUGGAUAACCUACCUAUAAGACUGGGAUAACUUCGGGAAACCGGAGCUAAUACCGGAUAAUAUUUUGAACCGCAUGGUUCAAAAGUGAAAGACGGUCUUGCUGUCACUUAUAGAUGGAUCCGCGCUGCAUUAGCUAGUUGGUAAGGUAACGGCUUACCAAGGCAACGAUGCAUAGCCGACCUGAGAGGGUGAUCGGCCACACUGGAACUGAGACACGGUCCAGACUCCUACGGGAGGCAGCAGUAGGGAAUCUUCCGCAAUGGGCGAAAGCCUGACGGAGCAACGCCGCGUGAGUGAUGAAGGUCUUCGGAUCGUAAAACUCUGUUAUUAGGGAAGAACAUAUGUGUAAGUAACUGCGCACAUCUUGACGGUACCUAAUCAGAAAGCCACGGCUAACUACGU
rnacentral:rRNA from 1 species